CCCUUAGAUGUCCGGGGCUGCACGCGCGCUACACUGAAUGAAUCAGCGUGCUAGAAAACCUUGUUUGACAUGGCUAGGUAACCCAUUGAAAAUCAUUCGUGAUUGGGAUCGGGACUUGCAAAUGUGUCCCUUGAACGAGGAAUUCCCAGUAAGUGCGGGUCAUCAGCUCGCGUUGAUUACGUCCCUGCCCUUUGUACACACCGCCCGUCGCUGCCCGGAACUGAGCCGUUUCGAGAAGACUGAGGUUUGCUGACUUGAGGCCUUCACGGGCUUCUAGUCGGUGAAAAUCAAUUUAAUCGCAGCGGCUUGAACCGGGCAAAAGUCGUAACA
rnacentral:rRNA from 1 species